GAUGAACGCUAGCUACAGGCUUAACACAUGCAAGUCGAGGGGCAGCACUAGGUAGUAAUACUGAGGUGGCGACCGGCGCACGGGUGCGUAACGCGUAUCCAACCUUCCCGUUACUCUUGGAUAGCCUUCCGAAAGGGAGAUUAAUACAAGAUGGUAUUCAAAUUCCGCAUGUUAUUUGAAUUAAAGAUUUAUCGGUAACGGAUGGGGAUGCGUGACAUUAGAUAGUAGGCGGGGUAACGGCCGACCUAGUCUACGAUGUCUAGGGGUUCUGGAGGGAAGGUCCCACACACUGGAACUGAGACACGGUCCAGAAUCCUACGGGAGGAAGCAGUGAGGUAUAUUGGUCAAUGGUCGGAAGACUGAACCAGCCAAGUAGCGUGAAGGAUGAAGGUUCUAUUGAUUGUAAACUUCUUUUAUACGGGAAUAAAACCUCCCACGUGUGGGAGCUUGUAUGUACCGUAUGAAUAAGCAUCGGCUAACUCCGUGCCAGCCGCCGCGGUAAAAC
rnacentral:rRNA from 1 species